UUAAGCGACUAAGCGUACACGGUGGAUGCCCUGGCAGUCAGAGGCGAUGAAGGGCGUGCUAAUCUGCGAUAAGCGCCGGUAAGGUGAUAUGAACCGUUAUAACCGGCGAUACCCGAAUGGGGAAACCCAGUGUGACUCGUCACACUAUCAUUAACUGAAUCCAUAGGUUAAUGAGGCGAACCGGGGGAACUGAAACAUCUAAGUACCCCGAGGAAAAGAAAUCAACCGAGAUUCCCCCAGUAGCGGCGAGCGAACGGGGAGGAGCCCAGAGCCUGAAUCAGCAUGUGUGUUAGUGGAAGCGUCUGGAAAGGCGCGCGAUACAGGGUGACAGCCCCGUACACAAAAGCGCAUGUGCUGUGAGCUCGAUGAGUAGGGCGGGACACGUGGUAUCCUGUCUGAAUAUGGGGGGACCAUCCUCCAAGGCUAAAUACUCCUGACUGACCGAUAGUGAACCAGUACCGUGAGGGAAAGGCGAAAAGAACCCCGGCGAGGGGAGUGAAAAAGAACCUGAAACCGUGUACGUACAAGCAGUGGGAGCACAGGUUUACCUGUGUGACUGCGUACCUUUUGUAUAAUGGGUCAGCGACUUAUAUUCUGUAGCAAGGUUAACCGAAUAGGGGAGCCGGAGGGAAACCGAGUCUUAAUUGGGCGUUAAGUUGCAGGGUAUAGACCCGAAACCCGGUGAUCUAGCCAUGGGCAGGUUGAAGGUUGGGUAACACUAACUGGAGGACCGAACCGACUAAUGUUGAAAAAUUAGCGGAUGACCUGUGGCUGGGGGUGAAAGGCCAAUCAAACCGGGAGAUAGCUGGUUCUCCCCGAAAGCUAUUUAGGUAGCGCCUCGUGAAUUCAUCUCCGGGGGUAGAGCACUGUUUCGGCUAGGGGGCCAUCCCGGCUUACCAACCCGAUGCAAACUGCGAAUACCGGAGAAUGUUAUCACGGGAGACACACGGCGGGUGCUAACGUCCGUCGUGAAGAGGGAAACAACCCAGACCGCCAGCUAAGGUCCCAAAGUCAUGGUUAAGUGGGAAACGAUGUGGGAAGGCCCAGACAGCCAGGAUGUUGGCUUAGAAGCAGCCAUCAUUUAAAGAAAGCGUAAUAGCUCACUGGUCGAGUCGGCCUGCGCGGAAGAUGUAACGGGGCUAAACCAUGCACCGAAGCUGCGGCAGCGAACGUAUCACUUAAAGCGAUUCAGCGGGUUACGAUUGACGGAGCGAAGCGACGUCAAAGCGUAUACAAAGUCGAGUCGGUUUAAGGAUACGUUCGUUGGGUAGGGGAGCGUUCUGUAAGCCUGUGAAGGUGGCCUGUGAGGGUUGCUGGAGGUAUCAGAAGUGCGAAUGCUGACAUAAGUAACGAUAAAGCGGGUGAAAAGCCCGCUCGCCGGAAGACCAAGGGUUCCUGUCCAACGUUAAUCGGGGCAGGGUGAGUCGACCCCUAAGGCGAGGCCGAAAGGCGUAGUCGAUGGGAAACGGGUUAAUAUUCCCGUACUUGGUGUUACUGCGAAGGGGGGACGGAGAAGGCUAUGUUGGCCGGGCGACGGUUGUCCCGGUUUAAGCGUGUAGGUGUGUGUUCCAGGUAAAUCCGGUUCACUUUAACACUGAGGCGUGACGACGAGGCACUACGGUGCUGAAGCAACAAAUGCCCUGCUUCCAGGAAAAGCCUCUAAGCAUCAGGUAACAUCAAAUCGUACCCCAAACCGACACAGGUGGUCAGGUAGAGAAUACCAAGGCGCUUGAGAGAACUCGGGUGAAGGAACUAGGCAAAAUGGUGCCGUAACUUCGGGAGAAGGCACGCUGACACGUAGGUGAAGUGAUUUACUCAUGGAGCUGAAGUCAGUCGAAGAUACCAGCUGGCUGCAACUGUUUAUUAAAAACACAGCACUGUGCAAACACGAAAGUGGACGUAUACGGUGUGACGCCUGCCCGGUGCCGGAAGGUUAAUUGAUGGGGUCAGCGCAAGCGAAGCUCCUGAUCGAAGCCCCGGUAAACGGCGGCCGUAACUAUAACGGUCCUAAGGUAGCGAAAUUCCUUGUCGGGUAAGUUCCGACCUGCACGAAUGGCGUAAUGAUGGCCAGGCUGUCUCCACCCGAGACUCAGUGAAAUUGAACUCGCUGUGAAGAUGCAGUGUACCCGCGGCAAGACGGAAAGACCCCGUGAACCUUUACUAUAGCUUGACACUGAACAUUGAGCCUUGAUGUGUAGGAUAGGUGGGAGGCUUUGAAGUGUGGACGCCAGUCUGCAUGGAGCCGACCUUGAAAUACCACCCUUUAAUGUUUGAUGUUCUAACGUGGACCCGUAAUCCGGGUUGCGGACAGUGUCUGGUGGGUAGUUUGACUGGGGCGGUCUCCUCCUAAAGAGUAACGGAGGAGCACGAAGGUUGGCUAAUCCUGGUCGGACAUCAGGAGGUUAGUGCAAUGGCAUAAGCCAGCUUGACUGCGAGCGUGACGGCGCGAGCAGGUGCGAAAGCAGGUCAUAGUGAUCCGGUGGUUCUGAAUGGAAGGGCCAUCGCUCAACGGAUAAAAGGUACUCCGGGGAUAACAGGCUGAUACCGCCCAAGAGUUCAUAUCGACGGCGGUGUUUGGCACCUCGAUGUCGGCUCAUCACAUCCUGGGGCUGAAGUAGGUCCCAAGGGUAUGGCUGUUCGCCAUUUAAAGUGGUACGCGAGCUGGGUUUAGAACGUCGUGAGACAGUUCGGUCCCUAUCUGCCGUGGGCGCUGGAGAACUGAGGGGGGCUGCUCCUAGUACGAGAGGACCGGAGUGGACGCAUCACUGGUGUUCGGGUUGUCAUGCCAAUGGCACUGCCCGGUAGCUAAAUGCGGAAGAGAUAAGUGCUGAAAGCAUCUAAGCACGAAACUUGCCCCGAGAUGAGUUCUCCCUGAGACUUUAAGUCUCCUGAAGGAACGUUGAAGACGACGACGUUGAUAGGCCGGGUGUGUAAGCGCAGCGAUGCGUUGAGCUAACCGGUACUAAUGAACCGUGAGGCUUAACCUU
rnacentral:rRNA from 1 species